rnacentral:rRNA from 1 species
CAGCCGCCACGGUAAUACGGAAGGUCCAGGCGUUAUCCGGAUUUAUUGGGUUUAAAGGGAGUGUAGGCGGUCUGUUAAGCGUGUUGUGAAAUUUAGGUGCUCAACAUCUAACUUGCAGCGCGAACUGGCGGACUUGAGUGCACGCAACGUAUGCGGAAUUCAUGGUGUAGCGGUGAAAUGCUUAGAUAUCAUGACGAACUCCGAUUGCGAAGGCAGCGUACGGGAGUGUUACUGACGCUUAAGCUCGAAGGUGCGGGUAUCGAACAGGAUUAGAUACCCGAGUAGUCCCUGUCUCUUAUAC